GGAAGGUUAGCUCAGUUGGGUAGAGCAUGGUGCUAGUAAUGCCAGGGUUGUGGGUUUGAUCCCUGUAUGGGCCA
rnacentral:tRNA from 1 species